rnacentral:lncRNA from 1 species
CUGGGGACUAUUACAACUUGUCACCCGUCACACACAGAGUUCCAGUUAAAGUUGUACAAAUUAAAUUGUUUUGUGCGUAUUUUUCUAAUAGUGUUGCAUAGAUUUGUUGUGCGCGGAGAACUCAUUGGUUAACAACAAUACAUACUUUAAGCUGCAAGAUUUUAAAGGUUUUUGGAGGAAACAGAAUUGGAAUACAUUCUGACACCUAUUACACAACAUGCCCAAAUUUAAACAGAAACAGCAUUUGUUUAAUGAAUCGAUAUAAGCUUCAGUGUAAGGCCAUGUACUUUGUCAUGUUUACUUUAUCUUGACAGACCAGUGUUUAUCAAGGCUCAAUGUCCUCGCUGUCGGGUCAGACACACAGUAUAAAGAGCAGCUUCAGUGACAGUUCCACAGACUGCAAAGAUGGGGAACUUCAUUUGUCCGGAUGCGUCGCACCUCACGGCUGUCGCUCGAGACUUCUGUCCUUUCCCUGACUACAGCCUGAACCCUCUCCUCAACAUGCUGACGGAGAACUCCUCUCUGCAUCUGAGUGAGCACUACGCUGCUGUCCAGGCCUCUCUGACGCCCCCACAGCAGCAGGACUUCACCCAGACUCUGAGGAGCACGUUUGGACGAGAGGGAAGGUCUCUUACGGAGGAGUGGGGGUCGUGGCUCUGUCUCUGGCCGUUCUGUUUGACACUGUGGCCAGACAAGUGAAGGGAGAGUACGAGUCCUACCAAGAGCCCAUCCCAGGACUGUUCCUCAGAGACCCCAGAGGGACCUACCCACCACCGGUCCACACCGUCAGCAAAUACCUGAGGCUGGUGCCGCAUAUCGCCAACAACCCCACCAGGAUGAGAGACGAGACGGAGAAGUAUUUACUCGAGCUAAAGCAAACGGUUACAGUUGCAAUGGAGGAAAUCUACACAGCUCAACGUUAUGAAGACAUUACAGGAAGGAAUCUUAUGACGUGCUAUGUGAUAGGGAAGGACAUGGCGCUCCACCUUCAACGUAUCGCAAAUAAAACCAUAGAUAUGGAAGAUAUCAAGUCAAAAAGAGAAAAUGGCGAAGACCCAAAGGUAAUUUUUAAUCUCAACUGUGACCCCAAAGAGGCCAGUGAAAGAUUUGUGGCUAAAGCGGAUUCUUUUGAUCGUCGAGCUAAAGAGAUAUUUGACAAACUGCCCCUGAGUGGAGAAGACAAGACGCCUCUAGAGAAAAUUGCAGAGCUUGACUGGGAAAGGAACUUGUUGUGUUUAGUCAUCCUAAAUCAAGCCAUGCUUGCUCAAACAGGAGAUUUCGAUCUGAAAGCUAAAGCACUUGGAAAAUGGAUUUAGAUCUGUACAAAGAUUAUAAAUCAGAACAUGAACAUGUAUGUGGCAUUGUUUAUGAAUAAAAAUGUUUAAAAAGUAAAAACACAUGUCAAGCUUUAUUUCAAAUCUUUUACAUGUAAACGUGUUCCAUAUUUUGCCAGAUCACAUUUUGACUUGUUCAUAUUGACCUCUUGAACCAAAGAUUGAGCCAAUAGGACGCAAUAAAGGCUGGCACACUUUUUCACAAUUUUCACAAGGUCUAUACCUGAGGAUGCAUAACUUUGUCAGGAAACAGAAACUUGAACAAUACAAAGAUAAGUACGGUCAUUAAUAAUCUCUCCCAGUUUCCCCGUUCUUGUACAUGUGUAAGAACAUUAGAACAGUUACA